AAGGGACAGGGAGAAAGGCUCUCCUCAAGUGGUAGCUCUGCUAGAGAGCCUUCCCCCUCUUCCCUGUAAUUCCCUUCCCAUAUGACUGAAGCCCAGAAUGCUCCCAUCUGUGAAGUCCUUUGUGCCUCCUUGCUGCACCACCUGAUCCUGAAGGAGGGAAGGUUGAUGGGGGAGUGGAAGGUCUGGAAAAGCCACCUUGCCAUCCUCUCUCAGCCCCCAGUGUCUGUAUAGACACGCAGACCUGUCUAAGCUCCGUAUUCCCUAUGCACUGUUGGAAGAGUUCUUCCCUCUAAACACGCACGCACUGCAGGUCCCCGGAGCCCUGUGUGUCCUGGGAGUUGUACCUUGGAACUACGCCUGUCUGUUGAACUUCAUAGCAGGAUUUUCUGGAUUUCACCUCUGAGGAAAUGAGAUGCUCCAUGGAGUGGAGCCACUGCAAGUUCCUGUUCCACGAGAUACACAGCACUGACCCAAGCAGACACAGCAUCGUGGCAGCUGUAGAGCUUUGCUUGGGGAAGCACGUGUAACUGAGGUGGUUGUAAGAUACAUGUCCAAAAGGUGCUCUUAGAAGGAUUAACUGCUUACAGCUGCGAAUACCACACAACUUUUUCAUGGCCAGUUGUAGCCUCCAGUGUUAUUCCAAAGCCCUGGAAGUAGGGCGUGUUUGCUUCUUUUCCUGAUUUUUACUGUGAGGUGGGAAAUAAAUUUCAACCUUUGAAAUUCUUGGCUAACACUAGAAAAAUCUCCAGCAUGGCUCUUCCUUGUGUUUGGAAAGAAAGUAGUCCUUCAUGCAUAGACAGCUCUCUUUUGGGACACUUGGCAAACAUUAUUUAGCUCAGCCUCUAAGUCUUCCUGUAAAGUACAUAAAUGGCUUUUAUUUUCCCCUUUUUAAUUUUCUGUAUUUUUUAUGGUUACACAGACUAAAUAAUUCUGCAAGCAGGCAGUAAUGGAACUGGAAACACUGUCCUGCUUUCUGACUUUCUCUCCUGAGGCAUAAAACCAAAGACUCUUCCCAAAGACUCUUCUUAUUGCAAGGAAAACAAGUUAGGAAAAAAGAUAACUCCAAAAUAGAAAUCUUGCUUGAAAUAUGAGACUAUGCCUAAUGUGGGAAGUAUAGGGAUAAUACUGAGUUUGUUAUGCUUAUAAAAUAAAUACAAAUUUGCACACUCAGAACCACGAAAAAUUACUUGGAAAACACUAAUAUUUUCUCAGAAAUUAUACAUUUCCAACAGCUUCCAAGGAUUUUCAUUGCUUUAAGCAUUCAUUCAUACGUUGAGCCUCUCUUCUGGUUGUGAAUUGGUAUUUUAAGAUGCAGAGAGGGUUAGAGAUUAUACCACUCUCGAUAUCUGCAAUGAAAUAAUUGUAAGUAUGUCUGUGCUAGUGAUAAAUCUUCUUAGUGCUGCAUGGAGACAGAUCUGCUCGUAGAAGAUUAUUGGGAUACAUUUUCUGCUGGUUGUCAUGACAAUCACAAAUCCAUGCAGCUGCACAGCAGUGUAUUAAUCUGUGCGUGCAGUUUAAUCCCGUUUCCAAAUUAGAUCAUCAAUACUGAACAGAUAGAUAACAGCUGGUUUAAAUGCUGUCUGUUCACUUCUCUGAAAAUAGCACCCGGAGUCCAGCCAGUACGCCUCCAGUUUUCUAGGAAGGACAUGGUGUUAAGCCAUGGAGCAAUUUGCUGCUGUAAUAGCAGUGUACAACUUGGCUCAGUGUCCCACGUCCCGUAUUCUUCAGGUGUUUAUAAUUAAUGUAAUUUUUCUCAGUCUGAAUUAUGAUGUCAUUUAUGUUUUAGAAAUUAUAUCAGAAGUUUAAGGGCUCGAUAGUCCCUCAUUAAGAGAACCUGGUUAUUACACUGUGUAGCAAUGCGUGCUGAUGCUAUCAUGACCUCUAAAGCUCUUGUUGCAAAUUAAGGAGGUAUUUAAUCUGAAAGGAAGUUAAGAAACAUGAGUAUUCCCUGCAAGGCUGUUAGGGUGUGCUUGGAAACUCAUCUGGCAUUGAACAAUUCAAGACAACUACUCCUGGUGUGUCUUGAACCUUCUUUCAUUAUUUUAUAAUUAGUGUAUUUUAUUAUUUUGCAAUUAUUAUUUCAAUAUUAUUUCCAUUAUUAUUUGCAAUUAUUACUUCCAUAGCUUUUCGUGUAGUUUGCUGAAAUGUACUUGUGAACUUCAGUGUUUGUAAAAGGUUUCAUGAAGUCAAGGUAAUCAGGCUCAGUUCACGUGGCCUCUUCUAGGGGCUGUGUUUGUGUAAAAUGUCAGCCCUGUCCUGCACAGCAGGCCCAUAGAUAAUGCAGUUUUCCUUAGAGCACACUUGAAAGAAUCAGCUUUCCUUAGUCCUGCAGGAGUUGAUUGCACUGGCAGUUGUCUUCUCUGCCCUGCCAGGCCACCAUGAAUUAAUUGUGGGCUGAGAGGGACAGCAUGAAAGUACACUAAUAAUUAUAGAAGGAUAGUCUACCAGCGCUUCUCAGUUUUGGUUUCAUUUUUAUGCAUGACAGAGCAGUGUAAGUUUGGGGUUUUUUUCAUUGGUUACGGAUUCCAUAGAAUCCUCAUUUGGUUUUGCAGAACUCAAGUUGAAGAGUUUCUUUCAAUAAAUAAUAAAUAAUAAAUAAAGUUCCACUUCUCUGGCCAAGCAUGGCAUUAUUGCACUGAAGGAGAGCUGAUCACUUACCAGCUUCAGUAAAUCUAACAUUUAAGAUGAGUAAUCAGUGUUUAAUUUCCAGUGGCACAUUUUCAUUGGCAUUUAAAGGGAAGUCUUUCUUUACUUACUUUCAGCAGUGCACAAGGCUGUUUGAGCUAUCAAGUAGCAUGCCAGAGGUGCAUAGGGAUUUGAGUUUUCCAGGGAUGUUUAGCCAGGGAUGUUAGCUUUUCAGAAAUAAUACUAAUGCAAAGUGUCAGCUUCCACAGCAUAUCAAUGACAAAUUUUUAUUUUAAUUUGAAGUGUAAUCAGCUCCAUUUGGCAAAGAUUUCUCUUGACAGCAGUUCAGUUGCAAUUAAGAUUGACAACUUUUUUCAUAAGUAAUGAAGAUUUGUAAAGAUUUUAUUUCAGUGCCUUCUUGCUUAUUCUUCCUUAGGGUUUUGCUUUGGGGUUUUUUAAUCCCUUGUGCUUUUUUCUGUCCCAAACCCCUUUUGGUUUCUUGAUAUCACUUGAAACAGCUGAUAUCUUGCUAAGUAGAGAAAAAUAAGAUGCAGGUUUCCCUUCAGAAUCAAAGCAUAGGAGCAUCAGUAAGAGCUGGGUUUGGCCUUUUUCCCGGAUGCGGAUUAUAUCAUCCUCUUUGCUGGUCUCUGAUGACCCUGGAUUCAAUGACCGCCUGUAUUAGGGAGGGUUCAAAACCAUACUGAAACUUGAAACCAUGACACCGUUAAAAGCUUAACAAAAACCAAUAUUUAUUACCAAGAGGUGGCCAACAAAACGAACAAACCCAAAAGGGAGGAAGGAGGAGAGAAAUAAGCCCCCAGCACGACCUCCCCAGUUACCCAGCUGUUGCCCAUACAGUUAUCUUACCGACCUAGCAUGCCUAUAAUUACCCCGAGCAGAAGCUGCAUCCCUGGAGAGUCAGUAAGUUCACAAACUGGCAGGCGUCCCCGCCAAUGGCAACAUUGUCCUUGGUGUGAAGUUAGCUCCCCCCAAGAAAGCACUAUCUGCUUUUUAUGCAAUUAAUUGAGUGACCACAACCUCCCAGGUGUGGCCAGCACCGCCCAGCCCAAGGCCCUCAGUCCCACCUCCCGGUUAUGUCAGUGCACCCCUUCUGCUCACGCGUGGCAUUCCCUGCGCCUGCAUAUUGUACUCAGGGGGGUCUUUUCCAAAUGAGUCUGGGGGCAUCCUUCAUCAUCCUCCUAAAUCUCUCCUUCAAGCGACCUUGGAGGACAACUAGCCAAUCACGGAAUACCAAUUAAAACAGUUUGUACAAGAAGCUCUCUUCAAGGGCAACUUUCCGGUUUAUCAGUGCUUGUUUUCCCAUAACUUGGCAGGGAAAGAGCAAAGCUUUCACAGGUGGCAGGGCCAAGCACAGACCAAAAGUAUCAGCAUAAAUUCACGCUGGUACACCGCCUGAGAACAUGUUUGGUAGAAAAAUCAAAGAUUGAAGUUAAGAAAUACCUGGAAACUAGCCCAACACAUGACAUGAAUAUUUAGUCAUUAAGCAAAUUAUAUUGAAUAUAUAGGAAUAGAGAUUGGUGUUGCCAAAAAUUCUGUACUUAGCAGAACAAACUCAUUGUGACUGAGGCUUAAUUCUUGCUAAACAUCACAUUAUUUGGGUGUCUCACACAGAGCUAUGCCCAUGAAGCCUGAUGUUGAGAAAAUAUUUUUUAACUUUUCUUCACAUGAGGGGGUGAUAGUUUCAUGCAUAAAUUUUGUGUGUAAAUUGCUGCAUGGCUCUGCAUCACAGUCAGUGAACUGUCUUCUGUCUAACCUUUUAGAAAUUUACUUUAAAGGCGCUUAUGGGUUUUUUAAGGCAUGCCUGUAGGAUAGUUGAGCAGUGAUAGUGUUCUUCUGCACAUGGAAAGACUGCAUCUGAAACCCUUCUUCAGGGCUUAGGACAGGGAUUCAAAUACACCACCAAAAUCUGAGUAGGUGUUCCAGUGAUGAGGUUAUUUUGUGGUAGGUCUUUUGACAUGGGUUCUGUUGGGUUUGUUUUGUUUAAAAACAUAUGGAAGUUGUUUUAUUCCGGAUGUGGAAUAACUUCACGUUCUUAAAAGAAACUAAAUUGCCUUUAUCAGCUCCACAUAACCAACAUAUGGGGCCAUACAGGACCUUUACUAAAAAAGAUACUUUUUCGGGACAUCGAAUCUUGGGCUAUUCAUAGGGAAAAGACAACGAUAUCAAUGAAACUGAAAUGGUAUCAAUGACAAUGGUAUCAAGACAAUGGUAUCAAUGAAACUGAAAAGUGGAGCCAACACAUCAGUAACUCACCAUAAGAAUGUAGCUUCCUGUACAGAUGUGUUGUUUCAGAAAUUGUUUCCUUCAGAGAAGAGCCUGUCUUGGCAGUAUCCUUGUUUUCUUCUCGGUUAUUUUUCCUCUGUCCAGUCUGACCUGAGAACUUCUUAAUGCUAAAAGCCUUUAUGUGGCUGGAUGAGUAUACUAAAUGAUUUUGAAUGUGCUGUAUUGCACUGGGCUGCCCACAGUGACAGUGACAUUUAACUGGAAAUUGCUCCACCUGUUGACUUGCAAUAUCUUGGGGUGAAUGGGAGAAGCUGUUUCCAUUGACCUCCACUCCAUGCUUUGCUCUCUUUAGGCAAGUGAGGAACAACCGCUGGCAGCCUGUUGGGAGGGAAAAGCUAGUGAUAACAGCAGUGGGUGCUUUGGUGGUAGUCAGAGCCAGUGUGGGGAGAGGAAUUGCGGCAACCCCAGUUCUCUGGCAGGUUUUCCUUGGAUAUCGCACAUCUGGUGCUGUGGCACUGAGAAAUGCUGCUGCCAUGGAGAGACAGGAGAGUGAAUAUUGUCCAUCAAGGUUGAGUCGGAGACCUUUGAAGGAACCAGAAGAAGCUCUUAAUCAUUGUGUUAGAGGCUGAAAAGCUUAGUGCCAGCAAAGCAGGCAGGUAUAGCUCAAGGUAGUGUUGACUGUUCACACAUGGUACAUCACCAGGCAAGAUUAAAGGCAGUGUCAUGUCUACUCUGAGAUGCUUGAUGGAGAAUUUCUUCAAAUACACCUCUUCAGGAGCUGAUCGUGAGGCUGCUUUCUGAGAGGCUUCAGGCUCUUAAUGGAACUUGUUUGCUAGAUAGAGGGUAUAGGAGAGCAAAUAAGUCAAAUGUCCCCUCUUACCUGGAAGUAAAGCUGUUACUGCAAAUACUGCAAAUGUCUUCAUUUCCAGACCUGAUUUCUGCUAUCACUCUGUAGUGCUAAAACAAUGUAAUGUCAUUUGUAAAUGGCUGUGAAGAGUAAAAGGUUUUGGUUUUGA